UACUACCGAAGCUACGGCAUCAGUAAUGAUGGGUAGGGGGGCUUCCCAGACGGGUUGAAGCAUGACCGUAAGGACAUGUGGACAGUAUGGGAGUGAGAAUGUUGGCAUGAGUAGCGAGAUGUGGGUGGGAAUCCCACAGGCCGUAAACCCAAGGUUUCCAGGGGAAGGUUCGUCCACCCUGGGUUAGUCGGGACCUAAGCUGAGGCCGAAAGGCGUAGGUGAUGGACAACAGGUUGAUAUUCCUGUACUACCGAUAACCGUUUGAGAGAAGGGAUGACACAGUAGGAUAAGCUAAGCACACUGUUGGUUAUGUGUGCCCAAGCAUUGAGGCAGUCAAAGUAGGCAAAUCCGCUUUGAUAAUGCUGGGAUGUGAUGGGGAGCGAAAUUUAGUAGCGAAGUAGCUGAUUUCACACUGUCAAGAAAAGUCUCUAUCGAGGUUAAAGGUACCCGUACCGCAAACCGACACAGGUG
rnacentral:rRNA from 1 species